ACCAACUAAAAAAGUAUGGGGAAGGUUUACCCAUAUUAUAUUAUAAUGUAGACUAAAUAAAAGUUUUGAUUGAAUAACAAUUUCUGGUAUUUAUUUUAAAUGAUCUCUCUUGCUUAAUGGAUUGACAGAAAGUGUGUUAAAAUAUUUGAAAGACAAACAAAAUUAAAUUAUGUUUCACAAAAGACAAUCAAAUGAAUAACAUCGAGUUAACAGCUAUAAAAACUUGAAUCUUCAGAUCUUGAAAUAACUGGAAAGGGACCUCGAUAAGGUGGCUCAAGAGGACGUCUAACAGCAUCUUCCCUAACAAAAACAAAAAUCUGCGGAGGAAAAGCAUCCAAAUCAUUGUGAAGAAAUUCUCCAGGAAUUCUUAAAGUUGUUCCAUAAACUAAUUCUGCAGGCGAUGCUUUCAAAUCUUCUUUCAAAGCUGUUCGUAAUCUAAGAAGAACUGUUGGAAGUACAUUGAUCCAAUUCUUAUUUCCAUGACACAUUAAAGCUGUUUUUAAAGAACGAUGCCAACGUUCCAGGAUUCCAUUAGAUUGUGGGUGGUAAGCAGUUGAUCGUGUCUUCUUGCAACCAACUAAAUUUGUCAAAGCCUUGAAAAAUGAUGCUUCAAAUUGACUUCCCUGAUCAGUAGUAACCACUUUAGGAGUUCCAAAAAGACAAAUUCAAUUUCGAUAGAACUCAGUAGCAACAGAAUCCGCAGUUGCUUUCUUUAAGUGAAUUGCUUCCAGCCAACGUGAAUAUCUAUCAAUCAUUGUUAAGAUAUAACGAAAGCCCUCAGAUGGAGGAAGUGCACCAACUAAAUCCAAAUGAAUGUGAUGAAAUCUUUCAUCUGGAAUUGGAAAGAUUGUUGGCUUACAUUUUGUGUGCUUAUUGACUUUAGAAAGUUGACAAAGUAAACAAGUCUUGAUACAAUCAAUAAUAUACUGUUUCAUAUGAGGCCAAACAAAUUUUUCUUUGAUUAAUUGACUAGUUGCUUUAACGCCUGGAUGAGACAAAUUAUGUACAAGAUUAAAAAUCUUUGAACGUAAAGAAGCAGGAACAUAUGGCCUAACAACACCAGUGGAAAUAUCGAAAAGAAAUUAAAUUGUCAGAAUCAUCAAUAUGGAAUUGUUGAAGUUGAAGUGAAGAAGAUGAUUCCAGAAGAUCUUGCAACUCUUGAUCCUUCUGUUGUUCUUCUGCUAAUUCCUUGGUAUCCGUAAGAACAGAAACAUGAGCGAUAUCCGUAGAAAAUUGUGCUAUAAAAUCCAAAUGACGCUGUUGACGAGGUGACAUCUUUUGUGCUCGCUUUGUAAAAGCAUAAAUGAGAGGCUUAUGAUCAGUAUCGUACAUAAGAUAUCGUUAGUCCAAUCCCAAGCUGCUGUGUAUUUUUUUUAUUCUUAUUUUAUACUUUGUUCGGUUGCCGAACAUCUUGUAUAAUUUAUAAAAAAAAAAAAAAAUUUUGCUACAAGAGGUAAUAUGAAAUAUAAAAUACAAACAAAUAGCCGAAUACUUUCCUGUUUCGCUGUAUGUAUAUCGUGUUUGGUCUCAUUGUAAUCAUAAAAAUCUUAUAAAUACAUUGGAAAAAGUUAGAUUUAAAAAAAUUAAUAAAUAAGAAAGUUUUAUCGUUA